ACGGAAGGCAGCAGUGAGGAAUAUUGGUCAAUGGGCGAGAGCCUGAACCAGCCAAGUAGCGUGAAGGAUGACUGCCCUAUGGGUUGUAAACUUCUUUUGUUCGGGAAUAAAGGAGCCUACGCGUAGGCUUUUGCAUGUACCGUUCGAAUAAGCAUCGGCUAAUUCCGUGCCAGCAGCCGCGGUAAUACGGAAGAUGCGAGCGUUAUCCGGAUUUAUUGGGUUUAAAGGGAGCGUAGGCGGGUCUUUAAGUCAGUGGUCAAAGCGUGUGGCUCAACCAUACCACGCCAUUGAUACUGGAGACCUUGAGUGCACAUAAGGAUGGUGGAAUUCGUCGUGUAGCGGUGAAAUGCUUAGAUAUGACGAAGAACUCCGAUUGCGAAGGCAGCUGUCCGGGGUGUAACUGACGCUAAUGCUCGAAAGUGCGGGUAUCAAACAGGAUUAGAUACCCUGGUA
rnacentral:rRNA from 1 species